rnacentral:tRNA from 1 species
GGAGAGGUGUCCGAGCGGCCGAAGGAGCACGACUGGAAAUCGUGUGCACUCAAAAGGUGCCGAAGGUUCAAAUCCUUUCCUCUCCGCCA